CUACGGGCGGCAGCAGUGGGGAAUAUUGGACAAUGGGCGAAAGCCUGAUCCAGCCAUGCCGCGUGUGUGAAGAAGGCCUUCGGGUUGUAAAGCACUUUCAGUGGGGAAGAAAGCCUUGGGGCUAAUACCCUCGAGGAAGGACAUUACCCACAGAAGAAGCACCGGCUAACUCCGUGCCAGCAGCCGCGGUAAUACGGAGGGUGCGAGCGUUAAUCGGAAUUACUGGGCGUAAAGCGCGCGUAGGCGGUCUGAUAAGCCGGUUGUGAAAGCCCCGGGCUCAACCUGGGAACGGCAUCCGGAACUGUCAGGCUAGAGUGCAGGAGAGGAAGGUAGAAUUCCCGGUGUAGCGGUGAAAUGCGUAGAGAUCGGGAGGAAUACCAGUGGCGAAGGCGGCCUUCUGGACUGACACUGACGCUGAGGUGCGAAAGCGUGGGUAGCAAACAGGAUUAGAUACCCUAGUAGUC
rnacentral:rRNA from 1 species